rnacentral:tRNA from 1 species
GGGCUUGUAGCUCAGUUGGUUAGAGCGCGCGCUUGAUAAGCGUGAGGUCGGAGAUUCAAGUCCUCCCAGGCCCACCA